GGUAGGCUUAAAAACGGCUACCACAUCUAAGGAAGGCAGCAGGCACGCAAAUUACCCAAUGACCGCAGGUCGAGGUAGUGACGAAAAAUAACGAUACGGGACUCAUCCGAGGCCCCGUAAUCGGAAUGAGUACACUUUAAAACCGUCCCCGAGGAUCUAUUGGAGGGCAAGUCUGGUGCCAGCAGCCGCGGUAAUUCCAGCUCCAAUAGCGUAUAUUAAAGUUGUUGCGGUUAAAAAGCUCGUAGUUGGAGUCCUGCCAGGUGUCGCCUGUCUGCCCAAGUGGUACGAACAUGGCGUUCAUUUGGCCCUUUCAAGGGGAGCGUAUCUGCACUUUGUUGUGUGGUGCGGGAUCCUUGACUUUUACUUUGAGGAAAUAGGAGUGUUUCAAGCAGGCAUGCGCCGUGAACAUGUUAGCAUGGAAUAAUAGCAUCGGACCUCGUUCCAAAGCUGUUGGUUUCUUGGACCGAGGUAAAGGUGAAUAGGGAUUGUUGGGGGCAUUCGUAUUUAACUGUCAGAGGUGAAAUUCUUGGAUUUGUUGAAGACGGACUACUGCGAAAGCAUCUGCCAAAGAUGUUCUCAUUGAUCAAGAACGAAAGUUAGGUGAUCGAAGACGA
rnacentral:rRNA from 1 species